UGUAAGCGUAUACCAAAGUUGUUGCAGUUAAAACGCUCGUAGUCGGAAUUUGGCAGUUCCGGAUGUGUGCACGUCGUGUGCGCACUUCGCGGGGAUUGCUUUUGUGGUCUUGCGUAGGAUGAGGCACUUUUAUUAGUGAACGUCCUCACGCAACCACUUUUUACUGUGAGAAAAUCAGAGUGCUCAAAGCAGGCAUUUGCCGUGAAUGUAUUAGCAUGGAAUAAUAGAAUAGGACUUGGUUCUAUUUUGUUGGUUUGUUGGGACUGAGUAAUGAUUAAGAGGGACAGUUGGGGGCAUUUGUAUUUCGGUGGUAGAGGUGAAAUUCUUAGAUUACCGAAAGACAAACUGCUGCGAAAGCGUCUGCCAAGGAUGUUUUCAUUGA
rnacentral:rRNA from 1 species